UACGUAGGGUGCGAGCGUUGUCCGGAAUUAUUGGGCGUAAAGGGCUUGUAGGCGGUUUGUCGCGUCUGCCGUGAAAAUCCGGGGCUCAACCCCGGACUUGCGGUGGGUACGGGCAGACUAGAGUGUGGUAGGGGAGACUGGAAUUCCUGGUGUAGCGGUGAAAUGCGCAGAUAUCAGGAGGAACACCGAUGGCGAAGGCAGGUCUCUGGGCCACUACUGACGCUGAGAAGCGAAAGCGUGGGGAGCGAACAGG
rnacentral:rRNA from 1 species